rnacentral:misc_RNA from 1 species
GCUGGAACCAUGACCACGCUAAGUUUGUGUGUUGUAUCAGUCAGCAGGAGAAGUGUCGUUCUCCGUCACUCUCGUGGCAGGGUGGGCGGCGCUCUCUCUCUCGCCUUAUUACAAUUGCUAAUGCAGCGAGCCGGGUCUCGACGUAGUGCGACGCUACUAUCUCAUUCAUACUUUUGCAUACACAAGUCCUUUUUAACAUGCAAAGGCUGUUUCCUAGCCAGCUAUCUGCAUCCCGGGCGAGAGAGGCAAGCCAGCCAGUGUUUCCUCGGCCUUCUGUUGGGACGCACCUACGCCUUUCACACGGCUACUGUUCCACCGGGACCUGGUGCUUCCUCUGCACCGGAACCAAAGCAUCCGUCCUGCACCGAAACUAUCGACCCGCUCGAUAUCGACCGCCCAGCACCCGCGUGUUUGUGUGGAAAGUGAGGUUAGGUUCGAUUAGGCGCGCGGCUAGAAAGCGCGGUAAGAAUGGGCGGGAAAAAGUGGUGGGGAGGAAAGGAUGGUGGUUAUCGUUGAUGCAGAUUUGAUGGGGCAACUGGAGUCACUUAAUUUCCGGAGAAGUUGACAUCAACUAGGAAAAUAUGAUACUUUUGCUUCAUAAAGAAGAUUCCAGAUAGAAAGCGAUCAUUGUACUAAAUGUACUAAACGGCUUGGGAUUGGGACACAAAUAAUUGACAUUCACGAAGUUUUCAAAUUCAAAGUGCUGCAUUUCCCACGAGGAUCCAGGGGCAGUGAGAGCGGAGAAGAAGUGAGAAGAUAAACUGAGCGGAAUAUUGGAAAGAACAAUACGUUAUGAAGUGAUGCUGAAUCUCUAUGAUUUAUCAUGGAUUAGAUGGAUUGAACAUAAUAAAUAUUUGUUUUAAUUUUCUUGACAUGUUUCUCACCACACUCCAAUGAGAAUUCAAUUUGAUUAAGAAAAGACUUUGAAAGAUGGAUAACAAAACUGAUUAUUCAUUCCAUUCAAUUUAUUGUACA